rnacentral:lncRNA from 1 species
GCAGAGUGGAGGUGAGCUGGCAUGGGCAACUUGAAGAGUGUGGGCCAGGAGCCUGGGCCACCCUGUGGCCUAGGGCUCGGGCUGGGCCUAGGGCUAUGCGGCAAGCAGGGCCCAGCCUCACCGGCACCAGAGCCUAGCCAGGCACCAGUACCCCCGUCCCCAACCCGACCAGCACCAGACCACAGGUGAGGGGCACAUGGCUGUGAGCAGCCCCCCGUUAACCCGGCCCCCAGACGGACCCAAGUUUCCUCGAGUAAAGAACUGGGAAGUGGGCAGCAUCACCUACGAUACCCUCAGUGCACAGGCUCAGCAGGAUGGGCCCUGUACCCCAAGACGCUGCUUGGGAUCCCUGGUAUUUCCAAGGAAGUUACAGAGCCGGCCCACCCAGGGCCCUUCACCCACUGAGCAGCUAUUGGGUCAAGCCCGGGACUUCAUCAAUCAGUACUAUAACUCGAUCAAAAGGAGUGGUUCCCAGGCUCAUGAGCAGCGGCUUCAGGAAGUGGAAGCUGAGGUGGUGGCCACGGGCACCUACCAGCUCCGGGAGAGUGAGCUGGUGUUUGGGGCCAAACAGGCCUGGCGCAACGCUCCCCGCUGUGUGGGGCGGAUCCAGUGGGGGAAACUGCAG